rnacentral:rRNA from 1 species
AUUGAACGUUGGCGGCAGGCCUAACACAUGCAAGUCGAACGGUAGCAGGAAGAAGCUUGCUUCUUUGCUGACGAGUGGCGGACGGGUGAGUAAUGUCUGGGAAACUGCCUGAUGGAGGGGGAUAACUACUGGAAACGGUAGCUAAUACCGCAUAACGUCGCAAGACCAAAGAGGGGGACCUUCGGGCCUCUUGCCAUCAGAUGUGCCCAGAUGGGAUUAGCUAGGAGGUGGGGUAACGGCUCACCUAGGCGACGAUCCCUAGCUGGUCUGAGAGGAUGAACAGCCACACUGGAACUGAGACACGGUCCAGACUCCUACGGGAGGCAGCAGUGGGGAAUAUUGCACAAUGGGCGCAAGCCUGAUGCAGCCAUGCCGCGUGUGUGAAGAAGGCCUUCGGGUUGUAAAGCACUUUCAGCGGGGAGGAAGGGGGAAUGGUUAAUAACCAUUGUCAUUGACGUUACCCGCAGAAGAAGCACCGGCUAACUCCGUGCCAGCCGCCGCGGUAA